rnacentral:rRNA from 1 species
GACGAACGCUGGCGGCGUGCUUAACACAUGCAAGUCGAACGGAAAGGCCCUGCUUUUGUGGGGUGCUCGAGUGGCGAACGGGUGAGUAACACGUGAGUAACCUGCCCUUGACUUUGGGAUAACUUCAGGAAACUGGGGCUAAUACCGGAUAGGAGCUCCUGCUGCAUGGUGGGGGUUGGAAAGUUUCGGCGGUUGGGGAUGGACUCGCGGCUUAUCAGCUUGUUGGUGGGGUAGUGGCUUACCAAGGCUUUGACGGGUAGCCGGCCUGAGAGGGUGACCGGCCACAUUGGGACUGAGAUACGGCCCAGACUCCUACGGGAGGCAGCAGUGGGGAAUAUUGCACAAAGGGCGGAAGCCUGAUGCAGCAACGCCGCGUGCGGGAUGACGGCCUUCGGGUUGUAAACCGCUUUCGCCUGUGACGAAGCGUGAGUGACGGUAAUGGGGAAAGAAGCACCGGCUAACUACGU